AGUUUAAUUCUAUGAACAAAUAAAACAAGAAAAUGACUAAAUGAAAGAAAAGAAAAUAAGCUAAAGGAUCUAAACUAGAUCCAACCCAAAUGCAAUAGUGGAUACAACCCAAAAGGGGAAAAUGCACCGGGUUGGCCCUCCAAGAAGGCCCAAACUCGGAUCUGGCCCAAAUAUAGAAGGGAGUCAAACAAACUCUUUGCACCGACCGACCAGACGCGUGGAGGAACGAAACAAAAAUGACUAGUUCACCACUGAAGGUCUAUAUUCCAACCACUACCAUAAAUGAUUUCGAGAAAAAGCAAUGCAAUAAAAGAAAACAACAUGCAUCAUUAGUUACCUACAUGUAUCCCCAUCUCACCACUUGGUACGACUUAGAAUAAAAGCAGAAAAACAAACACAGUGAAAAAAGAAAACCUCACCUCAUUCGUUCACUCCCUCUCUCUCUCUACCUACACACUUCAACCGAACAAAACUUUCUUCUGCAAACUGCAAUCCAUUCAUCGUCUUCCAACAAAACAAAACCAAAGCCCAAUUUAAACAAAAAAAACGAAACACCUAAAAUUCCAGAACCAAAGAUGAACACCUCAUGGUGUUCAUCAUCAGAAUCUCAACAGAUCCGAGCAAACCAAUUUCCGAUUUCAACAAAAAGAAACAAAACCCACAACAAAACAAAUAACAUAACCAACUCAAACCAAAAUUCGCAAAGCUUCUUACAAAUCUACAAUAAUCCAGACAUAACUCAAACAAUCAUGAAUAAGCAACGAAUCAUCAAAUCAUACAUUCAAUCGGCAACUACAUGGAGCUGCAAUGCCUUGGAAAGGUUGAAUAAAAGGGUGAAUGAUGUCGCCGGAGCUUUGCGACUCCGGAGAGACUCCGACAAGUUUUACCUCAAGGCUUAGCUCGGUUUACUCAGAGUUUUGAUGAUAAACUUUGAGUCACCCUUGGUAUUUUGAGCUUUAGGUACGGGUUGGUAUGAGAUUUCAGCAGGGUAACAGUAGGGUAUCCUCCUCCCUUUAUUCAAUGAUUGGACGUGUCCUUUUAUAAGAGGGAAAUCAAGUGUUCACACAUGCGAAUUUGAGGAUAAUUUUUCAAAGGAAAAUCCUCUGAAACGUGUAGGCAUUAGCUGUAAGAAUUUGUAAGGAUUUCCAAUCGGUUAGAGCGAAUCUUUCUUCUGAUUUCGUGGGGACCAAAUGUGUGAUGGGUAUCAAUUUUGUCUGUAGUAUAAUCUGAAAUUGUGUUUAUGUUUAGAAUGUGUGGUCCCAUAAUGAUUUUUACUGAUGCAUGUUUUUUUUUAUCUAGGUAUGAUGCUCACUAAUAGGCUUUCACCGCGUAGUCCAAGGCUUAUGGAUGAUUUUGGUUUUGCGAUGGUGUACUUUUUUGAUAUUUGGUAUUACCCUCUCCUUUUCCUUCAGACGUCUAAACACAACCUUCUGUCUUACUUGAAAAGUUCAAUGGUAAUAAUUCAGGGAUGCAAAAAACCAUACACGGUCCAUCUUUAUGACUUCAAUUCUCUUCUAGUGUCUCAUAUUCACAGAGCAAUGUUAAUAUCAACUAGUUUCUGUUGUUCUGGUUUAUUUGUCACAAGUUGCAGUCGAUCAAAACUUUUGGACGGUUUGGACUUUCAUGUUUCAGAGUUUUGAAAUAAGGCAUUCUUCUUCGCACUUAGACCUUCCUUGGGUCAUCUAUGAUGUCUCUUUUUUUGUUUUACAGGUCAUAUUUCGUCGUGUUUCGUCUGUUGGGAAAUGAGCGCGUAAUGGCCUGUUGAAAUGGAUGUAGAACUGGGUGCAAAGGGGAGCAAGUUUGAAGUUUGACUUGAUUGUUAUGUAAUUUAGCUUGUAGUAAGGAAUAUGAAACAACCAUGUUGUAAUUUAGCUUGUAGUAAGGAAUUUGAAACAAGCAUGUUGUUAACCAAAACUUGUGGUUCAAUGAAGUAAAUCCUGGUUAA